rnacentral:rRNA from 1 species
GCACGAGAAAGGGAGCAAUCCUAAGUAAAGUGGCGCACGGGUGAGUAACACGUGGAUCAUCUACCUUUUGGUGGGGAAUACCCCCGGGAAACUGGGGACAAUUCCGCAUAAGCUCGUAAGAGGAAAGCAGCAAUGCGCCGAAAGAGGAGUCCGCGGCUGAUUAGCUUGUUGGUGAGGUAAUGGCUCACCAAGGCAAAGAUCGGUAGCCGGCCUGAGAGGGCACACGGCCACACUGGCACUGAAACACGGGCCAGACUCCUACGGGAGGCAGCAGUGGGGAAUCUUGCACAAUGGGGGAAACCCUGAUGCAGCGACGCCGCGUGAGCGAUGAAGCCCUUCGGGGUGUANAGCUCUUUCGACAGGAACGAUGAUGACGGUACCUGAAGAAGAAGCUGCGGCUAACUACGUG